UCUGGCGACCAUAGCGAGGUGGUCCCCACUCCUUCCCAUCCCGAACAGGACAGUGAAACACCUCAGCGCCGAUGAUAGUGCGGAUUGCCCGUGUGAAAGUAGGUCAUUGCCAGAC
rnacentral:rRNA from 1 species